UACGUAGGGCGCAAGCGUUGUCCGGAAUUAUUGGGCGUAAAGAGCUCGUAGGCGGCUUGUCACGUCGAUUGUGAAAGCCCGAGGCUUAACCUCGGGUCUGCAGUCGAUACGGGCUAGCUAGAGUGUGGUAGGGGAGAUCGGAAUUCCUGGUGUAGCGGUGAAAUGCGCAGAUAUCAGGAGGAACACCGGUGGCGAAGGCGGCUAUCUGGACCGACAUUGACGCUGAGGCGCGAAAGCGUGGGGAGCAAACAGG
rnacentral:rRNA from 1 species